rnacentral:rRNA from 1 species
UGGGGAAUAUUGGACAAUGGGCGCAAGCCUGAUCCAGCCAUGCCGCGUGAGUGAAGAAGGCCUUCGGGUUGUAAAGCUCUUUUGUUGGGAAAGAAAAGCUUUCGGUUAAUAACCGGGAGUUCUGACGGUACCCAAAGAAUAAGCACCGGCUAACUUCGUGCCAGCAGCCGCGGUAAUACGAAGGGUGCAAGCGUUACUCGGAAUUACUGGGCGUAAAGCGUGCGUAGGUGGUGGUUUAAGUCUGAUGUGAAAGCCCUGGGCUCAACCUGGGAAUGGCAUUGGAAACUGGAUCACUGGAGUGCGGUAGAGGAUGGCGGAAUUCCCGGUGUAGCAGUGAAAUGCGUAGAGAUCGGGAGGAACAUCCGUGGCGAAGGCGGCCACCUGGACCAGCACUGACACUGAGGCACGAAAGCGUGGGGAGCAAAC